GGUUGUAAACUGCUUUUGUACGGAACGAAAAAGCUCCUUCUAAUACAGGGGGCCCAUGACGGUACCGUAAGAAUAAGCACCGGCUAACUCUGUGCCAGCAGCCGCGGUAAUACAGAGGGUGCAAGCGUUAAUCGGAAUUACUGGGCGUAAAGCGCGCGUAGGUGGUUCGUUAAGUUGGAUGUGAAAUCCCCGGGCUCAACCUGGGAACUGCAUCCAAAACUGGCGAGCUAGAGUAUGGUAGAGGGUGGUGGAAUUUCCUGUGUAGCGGUGAAAUGCGUAGAUAUAUGGAAGAACACCAGUGGCGAAGGCGGCUCUCUGGUCUGCAACUGACGCUGAG
rnacentral:rRNA from 1 species